UUUACAUUCUCACACUUCCACUUUUCAAAAAAGUAAAGAAUACUACUUGUAAGGUGGUAGUGGACGACUGUCGGUGUCGGUUUUGUCGAGAUUUCGUCUUUCAUUCGACUGAUCGGACAACUAGAUACACUGAAUUAGGUGGUGA
ensembl:ncRNA K12G11.12 ncRNA